UGGGGAAUAUUGCACAAUGGGCGCAAGCCUGAUGCAGCCAUGCCGCGUGUAUGAAGAAGGCCUUCGGGUUGUAAAGUACUUUCAGCGGGGAGGAAGGUGUUGUGGUUAAUAACCGCAGCAAUUGACGUUACCCGCAGAAGAAGCACCGGCUAACUCCGUGCCAGCAGCCGCGGUAAUACGGAGGGUGCAAGCGUUAAUCGGAAUUACUGGGCGUAAAGCGCACGCAGGCGGUCUGUCAAGUCGGAUGUGAAAUCCCCGGGCUCAACCUGGGAACUGCAUUCGAAACUGGCAGGCUAGAGUCUUGUAGAGGGGGGUAGAAUUCCAGGUGCAGCGGUGAAAUGCGUAGAGAUCUGGAGGAAUACCGGUGGCGAAGGCGGCCCCCUGGACAAAGACUGACGCUCAGGUGCGAAAGCGUGGGGAGCAAACA
rnacentral:rRNA from 1 species